ACAGGCUGCAGAAAAACAAGAGGAGCACGAGAAAGAACAAACAUUUGUUUUCAAAACAAUAUUAUGAAAAAUGGACUAAUGGUAGACUGUGGAGCAACAUUCCAGAUCUUAACAGAGAAGAAUGAUUUCACGAAAUUUGAUGAGAAUUUCGACCCAAAGUCACACUACAUGGAGCUGGCGGAUGGAGCCAGGAUGAACAACGUGGCAUUAAAGCGGGGCGACGCAUAGGUGUUACUGCUGGAUGUGGAGGGGAAAUGCGUCAGGAUCACUCUAAAGAAGGCCUUGUUCAUACCAUCAUAUCCACAUAGCAUCAUCUUCGUUCAAGCUGCUACAACAGAUGGUGCCAAGGUGAUCUUCCAGGAAGGACAAAAUGAACUGAUAAGCAAGGAUGGAGCUGUGUUCCGCAUAGAAGAGCAUGACAGACUGUACUAUCUGAAAACGGGCAGUGUGUGGAGUUCCCCAAACCUAUAGAGAAGCCCUUAUGUCACCUGAUGCUCCCGGAUGGGAACAUGCUAUGAAGGAAGAGAUGGACUCACUUAAAGAAAAUGACAUAUUUGAAUUGACAACUCUACCAGAGGGCAGAAAAACAGCAGGGGGAAGAUGGGUAUAUGCCCUUAAAGAAAAUGCAGAAUGAGGAAAAAUCUUCAAGGCUAAUUAUGUUGCAAAAGGAUACAACCAAACUGAAGGCAUAGACUACCAUGAGACAUUUGCUCCUACAGCAAAUCUCACCUCUGUACGGGC
ensembl:lncRNA